UGAUGCAGAGAUUAGAUGGCUCCUGCCCAAGGAUGACACACAAAUUUGUGACAUAGUCCACAUUUUU
rnacentral:sRNA from 1 species